AUGAUGAAGGAACUAGGUCUUCGGGAGGAGGACCUAGACGAUGUGGUUUUCAACGAGGACGAGGCCCCGGAUGAGGCGGCGCGAUGGAUAGCGCUGGCUAGGGUUCACUCGCCAAAGACAUAUAACCAAUAUUGGUUUUUCAAAAACAUGAGAGCAGCGUGGGAUCUAGCCCAGGAGGUGCAGUUCAAACCUCUGGAAGAUAAUCUAUACACUGUGCAAUUCUCUUGCUUGGGUGAUUGGGAGAGAGUAAUGCGUGAUGGCCCGUGGCACUUCCGGGGUGAUGCUGUGAUACUCAAACCGUAUGAUGGGUUGGCUAAACCUUCUACGGUCAUGCUUGAUACGAUUGAGAUUUGGGUGCAAAUCCAUGAUGUGCCACUCUUGUAUGCCCAUCUUGUUCCAUCGUUAGCAGCUAAGGUUGGAGAAGUCCUUUAUGCCGAGCCUCACAAGAUUUCACGGGUAACUUCCACUGGAUAUGGGUUCGGGUCAGUGUAA
rnacentral:rRNA from 1 species